AUUAUGAUAAUUUUGUUUUUCUUGACUGAUCCAAUAGUCUAACAAUAAGCCCAAGUCCCAGUUUCCUUUUUGAUAGUUUCAGGGGUAAAAAUAGGUAGAUCUAUUAAAAAGGUUACCUGACACUGAGAACAUGAUGCAAGCUGGGUAUUUCUUAAGAUUACUUAACUCACUAUCUAUGGGAGUUUUAAUUUCAGACUUUUAUUUCUAUAAAUCUGAGAGGCAUAUGAAAGAAAUACCAAAGCAAUCUGAUUGCUCAGUCAUAAAUUACUUCAAGCUUAAGAGAAAGAGAAAUGAAAAUUUUAGCAUGAAGAAGCUAGUUUGUCAUGGCUCACUGAGAACAAAAAUAAAGAACCAAGAAGUAACUGUAUUUUAAAAAGCUGUUACAGCUGCUGUUUUAGAAGCUCUGAAGACAAAACAGCUAAAUAAAUUAUUCAGGUGAGGGGAAUAAAUAAAUAAAUUUUAAAAACCAGCUUGGCCAGCUUGUCCUCCCUAUUCCAAGAAGAACCUAUCUAUAUAUUAAAAAAUAAGAAUCCAGAUGAUAAGAACUGAAACCUCUCUAUCAAGUCACCACCAAUUUGUAUUCAUUCUCCCUCUGCAUCCUCUGUACCAGUGUUCUCAGCUCAGAAGCAACAAGUGUGAUAUAACACUAGUUAC